CACUCAUCCAGAGAGGUGGAGGGAAAGGGCCCGAUGAAACCCGGCAACCCGUCGCAGAUAGUGGGAAUCGAUGCGACAUGGUGCCAAUUCCUUCAGGACGCAGUUCGUCCUGGCAGAUGAGGC
rnacentral:ncRNA from 2 species